GUAGCAGGAAGUGCUUGCACUUCGCUGACGAGUGGCGGACGGGUGAGUAAUGCUUGGGAACUUGCCUUUGGGUGGGGGAUAACAGUUGGAAACGACUGCUAAUACCGCAUAAUGUCUACGGACCAAAGGGGGCUUCGGCUCUCGCCUUGAGAGAGGCCCAAGUGAGAUUAGCUAGUUGGUGGGGUAAAGGCCUACCAAGGCAACGAUCUCUAGCUGUUCUGAGAGGAAGAUCAGCCACACUGGGACUGAGACACGGCCCAGACUCCUACGGGAGGCAGCAGUGGGGAAUAUUGCACAAUGGGGGAAACCCUGAUCCAGCCAUGCCGCGUGUGUGAAGAAGGCCUUCGGGUUGUAAAGCACUUUCAGUUGUGAGGAAAGGUUGGUAGUUAAUACCUGCCAGCUGUGACGUUAACAACAGAAGAAGCACCGGCUAACUCCGUGCCAGCAGCCGCGGUAAUACGGAGGGUGCGAGCGUUAAUCGGAAUUACUGGGCGUAAAGCGCACGCAGGCGGUUUGAUAAGCGAGAUGUGAAAGCCCUGGGCUCAACCUGGGAACUGCAUUUCGAACUGUCAGACUAGAGUCUUGGAGAGGGGAGUGGAAUUCCAGGUGUAGCGGUGAAAUGCGUAGAUAUCUGGAGGAACAUCAGUGGCGAAGGCGGCUCCCUGGCCAUAGACUGACGCUCAUGUGCGAAAGUGUGGGUAGCGAACAGGAUUAGAUACCCUGGUAGUCCACACCGUAAACGCUGUCUACUAGCUGUUUGUGAAUUUAAUUCGUGAGUAGCGAAGCUAACGCGCUAAGUAGACCGCCUGGGGAGUACGGCCGCAAGGUUAAAACUCAAAUGAAUUGACGGGGGCCCGCACAAGCGGUGGAGCAUGUGGUUUAAUUCGAUGCAACGCGAAGAACCUUACCUACUCUUGACAUCCAGGAAAUUUUUCAGAGAUGAAUUAGUGCCUUCGGGAAU
rnacentral:rRNA from 1 species